GAUGAACGCUGGCGGCGUGCCUAAUACAUGCAAGUCGAGCGAACGGACGAGAAGCUUGCUUCUCUGAUGUUAGCGGCGGACGGGUGAGUAACACGUGGAUAACCUACCUAUAAGACUGGGAUAACUUCGGGAAACCGGAGCUAAUACCGGAUAAUAUUUUGAACCGCAUGGUUCAAAAGUGAAAGACGGUCUUGCUGUCACUUAUAGAUGGAUCCGCGCUGCAUUAGCUAGUUGGUAAGGUAACGGCUUACCAAGGCAACGAUGCAUAGCCGACCUGAGAGGGUGAUCGGCCACACUGGAACUGAGACACGGUCCAGACUCCUACGGGAGGCAGCAGUAGGGAAUCUUCCGCAAUGGGCGAAAGCCUGACGGAGCAACGCCGCGUGAGUGAUGAAGGUCUUCGGAUCGUAAAACUCUGUUAUUAGGGAAGAACAUAUGUGUAAGUAACUGUGCACAUCUUGACGGUACCUAAUCAGAAAGCCACGGCUAACUACGUGCCAGCAGCCGCGGUAAUACGUAGGUGGCAAGCGUUAUCCGGAAUUUAUGGGCCGUAAGCGCGCGUAAGGCGUUUUUUAGUCUGAUGUGAAAGCCCACGGCUCACCCGUGGAGGGUCAUUGGAAACUGGAAAACUUGAGUGCAGAAGAGGAAAGUGGAAUUCCAUGUGUAGCGGUGAAAUGCGCAGAGAUAUGGAGGAACACCAGUGGCGAAGGCGACUUUCUGGUCUGUAACUGACGCUGAUGUGCGAAAGCGUGGGGAUCAAACAGGAUUAGAUACCCUGGUAGUCCACGCCGUAAACGAUGAGUGCUAAGUGUUAGGGGGUUUCCGCCCCUUAGUGCUGCAGCUAACGCAUUAAGCACUCCGCCUGGGGAGUACGACCGCAAGGUUGAAACUCAAAGGAAUUGACGGGGACCCGCACAAGCGGUGGAGCAUGUGGUUUAAUUCGAAGCAACGCGAAGAACCUUACCAAAUCUUGACAUCCUUUGACAACUCUAGAGAUAGAGCCUUCCCCUUCGGGGGACAAAGUGACAGGUGGUGCAUGGUUGUCGUCAGCUCGUGUCGUGAGAUGUUGGGUUAAGUCCCGCAACGAGCGCAACCCUUAAGCUUAGUUGCCAUCAUUAAGUUGGGCACUCUAAGUUGACUGCCGGUGACAAACCGGAGGAAGGUGGGGAUGACGUCAAAUCAUCAUGCCCCUUAUGAUUUGGGCUACACACGUGCUACAAUGGACAAUACAAAGGGCAGCGAAACCGCGAGGUCAAGCAAAUCCCAUAAAGUUGUCCUCAGUUCGGAUUGUAGUCUGCAACUCGACUACAUGAAGCUGGAAUCGCUAGUAAUCGUAGAUCAGCAUGCUACGGUGAAUACGUUCCCGGGUCU
rnacentral:rRNA from 1 species